CUUAAAUAUGGAGUCCAGGUACCUAAGUUAUAAUUACAGCUAAAGUUUGGGAGGAAGCCUAUCCCUGAAGCAAGCAAGCAAAAGGAACAAAAAGCAAAUAUCUCUUCUAACAACUUGGAGGAUGGUUCCUGUUUCAAAUUCCUUCCAUUGAACUUUCUGGCAUGGCCUUCAUGUUUCUCAUAGCCCAGUGAGUGAGAUACUGAAAAACAGACAAUUACAAAGGAAUGUGAUAAUUGGUACUAAAGAAGUAAGCAUGGUGUCUAAUGGAGAAGCCAUGGAGAGAUGUCUAAUAUCUUCUUUGGGAUUAAGCAGAACAAAUAAACAAAUCCAAGAAAGGGA